GCUGGAAUUGCUAGUAAUGGCAGGUCAGCAUACUGCCGUGAAUACGUUCCCGGGCCUUGUACACACCGCCCGUCACACCAUGAGAGUUGGAAAUACCCGAAGCCUGUGAGCUAACUUAAAGAGGCAGCAGUCGAAGGUAGAGCCAAUGAUCGGGGUGAAGUCGUAACAAGGUACC
rnacentral:rRNA from 1 species